UUUACGAAGGAACCUUCAGAAGGAAUGGGCGAUCUCAGCACUCAGCAGCUUCUUCGUUCUUCUUCGACAGAAAAGAUGGCUUUUAAUAUUUCUACCAACUCAAUCAGUCUAUUGUGUCUAACUCAAGAUUUUCUUCAUGUUUUCUUUGAUUUUUUGUCAGAAAUUCACCGGCUCUUCAGAGAGAUGAAGAUAUGUUCUACCAACUCUAUCAACAACUGCCUGGAUUUUCGGCUAAAAAUCUGGUGUCUUCGGUCCAGAUAAAAACCAAAAAUUCCCGUCCUUUUGCUAUCGCUGAAGAGAGAAGCAGCUGUUCAUCACAAAUUCUCUCCACUAUAAGAGAAAGAGCGAGGAAGAGGAGGGUAUUCUGUAUUGGUUGGUUGAUUCGAAGAUUGUUGUUAUGUGGUAUGUGAGAUUUUGCUUAUUGUGAAUAACGUACUAAUAUGUGGUUGGUUUGGAUUUUCUGGGAUAGGUUUCCUUAUGAUUUGGCUUAUGGGUAUUGUUUUGAAAUAUGUGAUUGAAGCGUAAUUGGACAGUGUAAUUGGACGAAAUUAUCGGGCUAUAGCUGAACAUGUAAUUCUGGUGAUUUUGUUAAGAAGAAAACUGUGGCUUCGGUUACAAGAGAAGAGUACGUUGAGAAGGGAGGAAGAAAUUCAAUUAAGGCACAUUGAGGUUACAAUUUUUCAUGGAACCUUUCAAACUUUUUUCCUUUGUAUGGGGGGAAAGUGAUUUGCACACGAGAAGAACUUGGCAUACAAAGUUUGUUGAUAAGAUUUUGGAAGGCAGCGAAACCAAUUAGUUUGGAAGUUCCAUAGGCAACUGCAAAGUCAGAACAUGCCCUAUGCGAGUACUAGCUAACCUGAAGGUAGCUUACUAGGGAGAUCAAUGCACAGACGAAGGGAGUGGCAACAAAAAUUGAAUGCAAGAGAAGAGAUUGGAACACGGACUUAGGGUCUUUCGAAAAGAACUAAAUUCAACGAAGACAAAUAAAUACAUUUUUAUUAUAUAGAAUAUUAACUUAUUUUCCUAUAAUAGCAUAUUAAAAAUACAUACACAUGAUCUCUUUUGUGGUUACAAUAUGUGUUUGCCCUUUAUAGGAGUUUUUUUUUUGUACAUCAUAUCUACUCACUUUUGUAAUGUUAUUCAUGUGUAAGAAUUUAAAUGUGCACUUGUUUAAGGACUAAAUAUUGAAUUUAUGUUAUUAAUACUUUUUAUAGA